rnacentral:rRNA from 1 species
GGAUUCCCUCAGUAGCGGCGAGCGAAGCGGGAUUAGACCAAGAUGAAAAUCUCCAUAGGAGAGUUGUAGUCUGGGUUACCUUGAGUAUUCAGUGAACGUAAGUCGCAUGGAAUUGCGUACCGUGGAGGGUGAGAGUCCCGUCCAACGUUCACAGGAAUUUCUCGCACGAGGUAACUUCAACCGAGUCGGGUAGCUUGAGAUCGCUGCUCUAAUAGGUGGUAAACUUCAUCUAAGUCUAAAUAUUGGUGGGAGACCGAUAGCGAACAAGUACCGUGAGGGAAAGAUGGAAAGCACUUUGAAAAGAGGGUGAAAAGCACCUGAAACCGCCACGGGGGAAGCGGAUUGCAUCAGUGUUGGUUAGUCGUCUGUUCAGCUACUCUCGGGUAGUGUACUCAGCGCUAGCUGUGUCGGCAUGGCUGUUAGGCUUUGGAAUUUGCAAAGUUUGAUGGUGAGGGCUCCCUUCGGGUGAGGAUGUCGACAAAAGGAUGCGACCCGACCCGUCUUGAAACACGGACCAAGGAGUCUAGCACUACUGCGAGUCGAAGGGUGGCAAAACCUAGAGGCGCAGUGAAAGCGAAUAACUGGAAAUCGUACAGAUUAGGGAGGUGUUGCGACUCUGUCAAAAUAUCCUACCCAGAGCAAUAGUGCUGGGACCCGAAAGAUGGUGAACUAUGCCGGAAUAGGGCGAAGCCAGAGGAAACUCUGGUGGAGGCUCGUAGCGAUGCUGACGUGCAAAUCGCUCGUCGAAUUUGGGUAUAGGGGCGAAAGACUAAUCGAACCAUCUAGUAGCUGGUUCCCUCCGAAGUUUCUCUCAGGAUAGCGGGCAGACUGAUAUUAUUGUUUUGUGUGGUAAAGCGAAUGAUUAGCGUAUUUGGGGAAGUAAUUUCUUCGGUCGAUUCUCAAACUUUAAAUACGCAAGAAAGAGUUGGUUGCUUAAUUGAACUACUCUACUGAAAAUGUCUGCCCUGUGGGCCACUUUUGGUAAGCAGAACUGGCGAUAUGGGAUGAACCAUAAGUUUGGUUAAGGCGUCAAAUUAUCCGCUUAUAGAUCCCACAAAAGGUGUUGGUUCAUCUAGACAGCAGGACGGUGGCCAUGAAGUCGAAUCCGCAAGGAGGUGGCCAUGGAAGUCGGAAUCCGCUAAGGAGUGUGUAACAACUCACCUGCCGAAUGAACUAGCCCUGAAAAUGGAUGACGCUUAAGCGGAUAGCCGACACCAGACCGUUUUCGUAAGAAGCGGCGAAAAUGAGUAGGAGGGCGUGGCGGUCUCGUUGGGAAGGCUGAGACGCAAGUCUAGCUGAAACAGCCGCUAGUGCAGAUCUUGGUGGUAGUAGCAAAUAUUCAAGCGAGAUCCUUGAAGGGCGAAGCGAGGAAGGGUUCCACGCGAACAUUGAUUGGGCGUGGGUGAGUCGUUCCUAAGCCGGGUGGUAAUCGUUCUAACGAUCGGCGAAAGGGAAGCGGGUUAAAAUUCCUGCACACGGAUGUGGAAGCGGUGACGCAAAUUGACAUGGAGACGUUGGCGGUGGCGCUAGGCAGAGUUUUCUUUUCUGUUUGACCUGUGAGAGCGUGCUGUGGAAUCCGAUUAUCGGGAGAAACAGGCGCCGAUGGGCAGAGCGUCGGGGCAUCCCCGGCGUCUAGCACGCCACCGACAGCCCUUGAAAAUCUAUGUGCGAUAUAAUUUCACGCCGUGGCGUACCGAUAACCGCAUCAGGUCCUCAAGGUGAACAGCCUCUGCUCAAUAUGAACAAUGCAGGUAAGGGAAGUCGGCAAAAUAGACCCGUAACUUUGGGAAAAGGGUUGGCUCUAGUGGAGUGGAGGAUUUAAAGGGAUUUCGAGGUUUUGGCGCUUAGCUGGACCUUGCGGCUAAGGUGGGCAACUACUCUUGGCUUGCUCGGAUCGGCUUCGCGUCUGGAGCUUCGGGGUACGCCUUCAGCAUACUCCAAACUAGAACUGCAACGGGCAAAGGGAAUCCGACUGUUUAAUUAAAACAAAGCAUUGCGAUGGCCGAGGUCGGUGUAGACGCAAUGUGAUUUUGCAACGGGCCAAGGGAAUCCGACUGUUUAAUUAAAACAAAGCAUUGCGAUGGCCGAGGUCGGUGUAGACGCAAUGUGAUUUCUGCUCAGUGCUCUGAAUGUCAAAGUGAAGAGAUUCAAACAAGCGCGGGUAAACAGCGGGAGUAACUAUGACUCUCUUAAGGUAGCCAAAUGCCUCGUCAUCUAAUUAGUGACGCGCAUGAAUGGAUUAACGAGAUUCCUACUGUCCCUAUCUGCUUCUAGCGAAACCACAGCCGAGGGAACGGGCUCGGCGAAAUCGGCGGGGAAAGAAGACCCUGUUGAGCUUGACUCUAUUCUAAUUUUGUGACGCAAGUUAGGAGGUGUAGCAUAGGUGGGAGCUUUCGGGCGACAAUGAAAUACCACUACUCUUAAUCUUGUUUUACUUACAGCGUCAGACUGCACGACCAUAUUGGUCUAUUUUGGCAUUAACUUGGAAAGCCUUCGGGUACUAAGAAGCAGCGCGCUAGACACAUUUAGGAGGGGAGUUUGGCUGGGGCGGCACAUCUUCUACAAGACAACGAAGGUGUCCAAAGAUGAGCUCAGUGAGAACAGAAAUCUCACGUAGCGCAAAAGGGUAAAAGCUUGUUUGAUUUUGAUUUUCAGUGUGAGUUAAAAACACGAAAGUGUGGCCUAUCGAUCCUUUCACGAUUCGAGGUUUGAAGCGAGA